CCGGGAUACCAGGCGAUCCUGGUGGGCCUGCCGGGCCUGCGUCGCCAAUAGGUCCUUGUGGUCCCACGGGCCCUGAUGGCCCAGUCAAUCCAGAUGCUCCAGGUUCACCCUAACUGGUCCGCGGUGAAUUGCUUGCCCACGACGAGGGUCCCAGCCAAGUUGAAGCUGCUGCCAGGCUUGCGGUCGAGCCGCAGGGUCUCCGUGAUGUUGCAGUCUACCAACAGGGUCGCCGAGUCGCCUUUGACGCUGAGCGCUAGACGGUGCCAUCUGUAGGAGGUGUCUCAGCAAAGGUUGGCGACGCCUGGCGCUGACGUCGGGCAUGUUAAAUUUAUUAAUGAUCGCUGAUUUAAAUUAACAGUUUAACAGUCCAUAAUAUACUUUCUAGGUUACUUAUAAUAUAUGUCACGGAUACACUAGGGGACAAAUGUCCUGUGCAACUCAGAUCCUACGUAUUAAAGAAAUUCUCAACUCAAACCACCCUAUGAACUAUCCCUCAGUGUUUCACGCAACAUUAUACAUGACCCGGGACAUGUUUGACGGACUGCGGCAACAUUGUCCCCAGGAAAAUCACUCGAUGUGAAACUCCUGCUUUCGAUUCUCAGAUCAUAAUGUCGAACACGUUUCCUUAACGUUAAUUGACAUCAUCCCAUUAUAAUUAACCUUUAAGGAAAUUAUCUCAUUAGAAUACACUUAAAAUAAUUAAUUUCAUAAAAAAUAUCAUAACUUGGCCUAUUACGUUAAAAUCAAACUCCAGUUUUGGAAUAAGUACGAUGACUUACUCGUAGUAUAAAUAUGAUAUGAAUACUGUGUCGGGGGCAUCGAAUUCGUAUGCCUACCUUAUUACUUGCUGUGACAUCUGUCUGAUACACUCUUUAAUUUGGUGUCAGUCCCUAUAUUUGCUUUAUUAAUAUCUAAAAUGUAGGGUAGGUGUAGUAAAUAUUUGAACUUCGUAUCACACAACUAUGUCAUAGGAUCUGCCCUAUGAUUGGUCUAAAAGGUUAUAAUUAAAAUUCAACCAAUCAUAAUUUGCCCCAUCUACGCUUGAAAUUGAAUUGAUCUUUGAGCUUUGUUUUUUAGUACACACCUUUAUUUUUCUCAGACGU